ACGAACGCUGGCGGCGUGCUUAACACAUGCAAGUCGAACGCUGAAGCUCAGCUUUUGUUGGGUGGAUGAGUGGCGAACGGGUGAGUAACACGUGAGUAACCUGCCCCCUUCUUUGGGAUAACGCCCGGAAACGGGUGCUAAUACUGGAUAUUCACUGGUCUUCGCAUGGGGGUUGGUGGAAAGGGUUUUUCUGGUGGGGGAUGGGCUCGCGGCCUAUCAGCUUGUUGGUGGGGUGAUGGCCUACCAAGGCUUUGACGGGUAGCCGGCCUGGGAGGGUGACCGGUCACAUUGGGGCUGAGAUACGGCCCAAACUACUACGGGGGGCAGGAGUGGGGAAUAUUGCACAAUGGGCGCAAGCCUGGUGCAGCGACGCCGCGUGAGGGAUGGAGGCCUUCGGGUUGUGAACCUCUUUCGCUCAUGGUCAAGCCGCAACAAUGGUUGUGGUGAGGGUAGUGGGUAAAGAAGCGCCGGCUAACUACGUG
rnacentral:rRNA from 1 species